rnacentral:tRNA from 1 species
CAUUAAGUGGCUGAAAGCAAGCAAUGAUCUCUUAAAUCAAAAAAUAAUAUAUUAGCAAAUAUUCUUAAUG